AAUUUCAUAAUUUUUUGGCAUCACUAACUGAACGAUCAAAGGGUCACAAAAUCUAUAAUUUUAAUGGCCGAUAUGGUGCGUUUGCUCGUUUAACUGUAUAGAAGAGUUCAAAUUAACUAAAUUUUUGUUAAAAAAUUCUUUAAACUAUUUAAAAUAAGAUCUAGACUCUAGAUCUCAAAUAUAAAAAUUGUAUCAUCACUUUUUGAAGGAUAUUCAUUUCCAGCUAUUUAUUUUUCUGUUCACUUGAUGGACAAGAGAAUAAUAUCGAAAAUGUGUGAAAAAUUUGAUUUCCAGAUAGUUUAAAUAGAUAUAUAUGUGUGUGUGUGCGCGCGCGUAUUAGUCUGCUUGAGGGAAAGAGAGAGUGCAACAGUCGUUUGUAAUUCCAAAAGUUUAAGUUUUUAGAGAACGACGAUAUUUCUAACAUCAAUAUUAAUACGACACUUUUUCUUAGAUUUA
rnacentral:lncRNA from 1 species